rnacentral:rRNA from 1 species
AGUUCAGAUUGCAGGCUGNAACCCGCCUGCAUGAAGUCGGAAUUGCUAGUAAUCGCGGAUCAGCAUGCCGCGGUGAAUACGUUCCCGGGCCUUGUACACACCGCCCGUCACACCAUGGGAGCCGGUAAUACCCGAAGCCAGUAGUCCAACCUCGUGAGGACGCUGCCGAAGGUAGGAUUGGCGACUGGGGUGAAGUCGUAACAAGGUACC